rnacentral:rRNA from 1 species
UACGUAGGGGCCAAGCGUUGUCCGGAUUUAUUGGGCGUAAAGAGCUCGUAGGCGGCUCGGUAAGUCGGGUGUGAAACCUCCAGGCUCAACCUGGAGACGCCACCCGAUACUGCUGUGGCUAGAGUCCGGUAGGGGAGCGUGGAAUUCCUGGUGUAGCGGUGAAAUGCGCAGAUAUCAGGAGGAACACCAGCGGCGAAGGCGGCGCUCUGGGCCGGAACUGACGCUGAGGAGCGAAAGCGUGGGUAGCAAACAGG